CAUUGCUCUGACCGUUGCAUAUUUGGGUCCAAAAAGAUCAUAUCGACUGGUUCUCAAAGGAGAGCGAUACCUUUUCCACAAGAGCUUGCUACGGAACUGGUUAUGCCGGCGGCGGCGCGAGGGCGGACUCGCCGCGCAUGCAGCCUGCGACUUUCCGCAGUGUCAGUGUUUCCCUCACUUGUUCAUUCGUCGAAUAUUUCAUGGUGCAUAUAGGUUGAUGAAUCGAUCGCAUUUGCGGCGUACCGCGUCCGAGCUCAACGCUGAUCGCGGGCCUGACGGAAGCGACUCCAGAAAGGAGUAGCGCGCUGUGUGUUCCAGGGGCGCACGUCCGAGUGCAGCUGCAAGUUUUGUCUUUCAUCUAGUCAUAUUAGAGCCCUUUGAUAUUCUGCCGAGCACAGUGUACGUAGCGCUCUUGGGGCCGCAGUUGCACGCCUACCCAACGAACGCGUCUAUGCCACUGGCGAAGAGGCAAAGUCGCUCCUGCAUAGCACGAGCCGCAGCGCAUCGCUCGAUAUGCGUAGACAUUCUUCGUGGUCUGUUGCGAUGUCAUGGCGCUGAAAGCGAAUAUCGACAAUCGAAACGGACCCAUGAAAAGGUGUUGCAUGUUCAGAGAUAAUCGCUCGCAUGUUUAAGAAACACUGAGUUUUUUGGAAUGUAGACUUGUUGAGAUACGAGACGGUGAUCCCCGAUUCCGCAAUGGGUAUCGGCGUCCGUGAGAACACGUAUCGCCGAGAGGUUUUGUAAGCGUUGCGAGAGCGCACCAUAUCGGCAUUGGGACGUGCAACGAUGAAGCAGUUUCCAGCUUGCGCUGCUGCUGCGCAUGCGGUUGAUGUUUGCAAAUGGAGACGGCGUAUUACGUCGCCUCACUGGAUACAAUGCUGUUGCAGCGCCCCAGAGGUAAUGCGCGAGAUGCGUGUGUGAUACCUGCCUUCCGAGCACUGCGCCGAAGUGCAUUCCACUCGAGACCAUAUCUCGUACGGUAGGAAUCCGUUCUCAGGGUUUUAGGUAUCACUGGAUUCACUCGCCCAGAGAAUGGGACAUGGGAAUUCAAGAGCGCGCCGACAUCCGUCGCCGUUUCGUUUUGGAACCGGAUCCGAACGACGUCCCUGUGCCGUCCAUGCAUUCCGACGUCGUUCGCAGCAUGAGUUCCUCGGUUUCGGCUAACAAACUCAAUGCCAAAGAAUCAUCGUCUCGAUCGCCGUUAGCAUCCGGUGGUUGCUUUUCUGCACCACUGACCUGUGAUGCUCCUGCGCUUAAUCCAUCGCAAGCCAACUUUCGGACGGCAUUCUGAAGACGCGUUGAACGAAUACGUGCAAAGCGAUGCGGCUGGAAAAAGGAGUCGAUGCGUGUCUGGCGCUCACGAUGUCGCUGAAACGCCUGGACAACAGGACCAAGCGCUUGCUCUAACUUGGCCGAGUCCCAGCCGAACAGAUCAUGACAAAAUGCCCGCAAAGCGACUGGAUCCGGUCCGCAAUUCGGAAAAAGUUCGCGACGCCGAUGAAGCCAGGAGGUGUCCACUUGCGGCCGCAAGAAUGCUUCAAUGACGUGGCGGUUCGGAAACGUCUUGUCAAGUAGGUUCCAAUUGCGCUUCAUGUUGAUGUGGAGCUUUUUGAAUGCGGCGCGUCGCGGCUCUGGAUCGCUCACACUCGCUGGAUCAUCGCCAAGAUGAACAGCGUCUAGCCAUUCGCGAAAAUCUUGCAGUCCGCGAAAUGGCUCGCGUUCGGGACUUGUGUCUGGACAAGCAGGGUCAGGGUCUCUGCAAAACGCCUCCACGAUUUCGGUUGCGUUCACAAUCCCAACCCCGUAGACGCCGUCACUGUAAUCGCUGCCGAGCAACAAUCCCAAGCAAAUAAGCUUGUCACGUGAUAGGCCCAUGUUCCGUUCAAUGCGAUUCAUCUCGUACUCCUC